AACGAACGCUGGCGGCAUGCCUAACACAUGCAAGUCGAACGAGACCUUCGGGUCUAGUGGCGCACGGGUGCGUAACGCGUGGGAACCUGCCUUUAGGUUCGGAAUAACUCAGAGAAAUUUGAGCUAAUACCGGAUAAUGUCUUCGGACCAAAGAUUUAUCGCCUUUAGAUGGGCCCGCGUUGGAUUAGCUAGUUGGUGGGGUAAAGGCCUACCAAGGCGACGAUCCAUAGCUGGUCUGAGAGGAUGAUCAGCCACACUGGGCCUGAGAUACGGCCCAGACUCGUACGGGAGGCAGCAGUGGGGAAUAUUGGACAAUGGGCGAAAGCCUGAUCCAGCAAUGCCGCGUGAGUGAUGAAGGCCUUAGGGUUGUAAAGCUCUUUUACCCGAGAUGAUAAUGACAGUAUCGGGAGAAUAAGCUCCGGCUAACUCCGUGCCAGCAGCCGCCGUAA
rnacentral:rRNA from 1 species